rnacentral:rRNA from 1 species
GACGAACGCUGGCGGCGUGCCUAAUACAUGCAAGUCGAGCGGAAGUUGAAGAGCUUGCUCUUCAACUUUAGCGGCGGACGGGUGAGUAACACGCGGGCAACCUGCCCUGCAGAUCGGGAUAACUCCGGGAAACCGGUGCUAAUACCGAAUAGUUUUCGCCACCUCCUGGUGGCGUACGGAAAGACGGUUUCGGCUGUCACUGCAGGAUGGGCCCGCGGCGCAUGAGCUAGUUGGUGGGGUAACGGCCCACCAAGGCAACGAUGCGUAGCCGACCGGAGGGGUGGAUCGGCCACACUGGAACGGAGACACGGCCCAGACUCCUACGGGAGGCAGCAGUAGGGAAUCUUCCGCAAUGGACGAAAGUCUGACGGAGCAACGCCGCGUGAGUGACGAAGGUUUUCGGAUCGUAAAACUCUGUUGUGAGGGAAGAACAAGUACCACUUAACUACUGGUACCUUGACGGUACCUCACCAGAAAGCCACGGCUAACUACGUGCCAGCAGCCGCCGUAAAAC